rnacentral:pre_miRNA from 1 species
CUAUUACUCCCACUGAUCCAUAUUAGUUGUCGCUAAAACGGAUGUAUCUAGCCGUAUAUCAAUGCUAGAUACAUCUGUUUGAGACAAGUAGUAUGGAUCAGAGGGAGUAUCAA